UACGUAGGGUGCGAGCGUUGUCCGGAAUUACUGGGCGUAAAGAGCUUGUAGGUGGUUUGUCGCGUUGUUCGUGAAAUCUCACGGCUUAACUGUGAGCGUGCGGGCGAUACGGGCAGACUAGAGUACUGCAGGGGAGACUGGAAUUCCUGGUGUAGUGGUGGAAUGCGCAGAUAUCAGGAGGAACACCGGUGGCGAAGGCGGGUCUCUGGGCAGUAACUGACGCUGAGAAGCGAAAGCGUGGGGAGCGAACAGG
rnacentral:rRNA from 1 species